rnacentral:rRNA from 1 species
GACGAAGGGGGCUAGCGUUGUUCGGAAUUACUGGGCGUAAAGCGUGCGCAGGCGGUUUGUUAAGUCUGUUGUGAAAUCCCCGAGCUCAACUUGGGAAUUGCAAUGGAUACUGGCAGGCUGGAGUAUGGUAGAGGAAGGUGGAAUUCCCGGUGUAGCAGUGAAAUGCGUAGAGAUCGGGAGGAACACCAGUGGCGAAGGCGGCCUUCUGGACCAAUACUGACGCUCAUGCACGAAAGCGUGGGGAGCAAACAGG